CCUACGUGAGGCAGCAGUGGGGAAUAUUGCACAAUGGGGGAAACCCUGAUGCAGCGAUGCCGCGUGAGUGUAGAUGUAUUUUGGUAUGUAAAGCUCUAUCAGCAGGGAACAAUAUGACUGUACCUGACCAAGACGCCCCGGCUAACUACGUGCCCGUCGCCUGGGUCAUUCGUAGCGGCCACGCGUUAUCCGGAUUUACUGGGUGUAAGGGGAGCGUAGACGGCAAGAAAAGUCAUAAGCGAAGGCCCAGGGCUCAAGGGGGGUACUGCUUUUGAAACUGCCGGGCUGGAGUGCAGAUGAGGUGAGAGGAAUUCCUAGUGUAGCGGUGAAAUGCGUAGAUAUUAGGAAGAACACCAGUGGCGAAGGCGGCUUACGGGACUGUAACUGACGUUGAGGCUCGAAAGCGUGGGGAGCAAACAGGAUUAGAUACCCGAGUAGUC
rnacentral:rRNA from 1 species